CAUGUUACAGCCAUUUUUCCAUUUCCAUUGUCACAGCAGAAACUAUUGGUUUCUCACACAGCAGCUAUUGUCCUUUCUUUUCUUUUUCUUUCUUUCUUUUUUUUUCUGAGACGGAGUCUCGCUCUGUUGCCCAGGCCAAAGUGCAGUGGUGUGAUCACAGAUUACUGCAGCCUCAACCUCCCAGGCUCAAGCUAUCUUCCCACUUCAGCCUCCCACGUAUCUGGGACCACAAGCCUGUUUCACCAUGCCCAGCUAAUUUUUACAUUUUUUUUUUUUUUUUUUUUGUAGAGAUGGGGUUUCACUGUGUUACCCAGGCUGGUCUCAAAUUCCUGGACUCAAGCAAUCCUCCUGUCUUGUACUCCCGCCAUGCUAGGAUUACAGAUGGGAAAACAGAGACUCUGAGAAGUAGGAGACUUGAUCACGGUGACUCAAAGGCAGAGCGAGUUCCGAUGAGGCAGCCUGGUUCCUGCUUAGUUGCUUUUCCCAGAGGAGGUUCCCCGCUGGCCGUCUCCCCAAAGCCUGUCCUCCUUGUGUGGCUGGGAGGAGAGAGGAGGUCCUGGAGCAGGAACAGCC
rnacentral:lncRNA from 1 species